AGACUUACCUGGCAGGGAAGACACUAGGAUUGUGACAGUGGUUUCCCGGAAUGAGACUCGUCCAUUUUACCCUGGAUGUGCUGACCCUGAGAUGCUGCCACCCGUUGAAAGGUGGAUGCAUAGUCUGUUCUAGUGGGGGACAGGAGUAUGCCUUCCCCUG
rnacentral:snRNA from 1 species